AUUGAACGCUGGCGGCAGGCUUAACACAUGCAAGUCGAGCGAGCGGCGGACGGGUGAGUACUGUCUGGGAAACUGACUGAUGGAGGGGGAUAACUACUGGAAACGGUAGCUCAUACCGCAUACCAUCAGAUGUGCCCAGGUUGGAUUAGCUAGUAGGUUGGGUAUUGGCUCACCUAGGCGACGAUCCCUAGCUGGUCUGAGCGGAGGACCAGCCACACUGGAACUGAGACACGGUCCAGACUCCUACGGGAGGCAGCAGUGGGGAAAGUGUCACAAUGGGCGAAAGCGUGAUGCAGCCAGGCCGCGUGUGGGAAGAAGGCCUUCGGGUUGUAAAUCACUUGCAGCGAGGAGGCGUUACUCGCAGAGGAAGCACCGGCUAAGUACGUGCCAGCAGCCGCGGUAAUAC
rnacentral:rRNA from 1 species